GACGGAAGGUGCAAGCGUCGCUCGGAAUCACUGGGCGUAAAGGGUGCGUAGGCGGCCGUGCAAGUCUGGCGUGAAAGCCCCGGGCUCAGCCCGGGAAGUGCGCUCGAAACUGCGCGGCUCGAGUGCCGGAGGGGAGAGUGGAAUUCCUGGUGUAGCGGUGAAAUGCGUAGAUAUCAGGAGGAAUACCGGUGGCGAAAGCGACUCUCUGGACGGCAACUGACGCUGAGGCACGAAAGCGUGGGGAGCAAACAGG
rnacentral:rRNA from 1 species